GACGAACGCUGGCGGCGUGCUUAACACAUGCAAGUCGAACGGAAAGGCCCUGCAUUUGUGGGGUGCUCGAGUGGCGAACGGGUGAGUAACACGUGAGUAACCUGCCCUUGACUUUGGGAUAACUUCAGGAAACUGGGGCUAAUACCGGAUAGGAGCUCCUGCUGCAUGGUGGGGGUUGGAAAGUUUCGGCGGUUGGGGAUGGACGCGCGGCUUAUCAGCUUGUUGGUGGGGUAGUGGCUUACCAAGGCUUUGACGGGUAGCCGGCCUGAGAGGGUGACCGGCCACAUUGGGACUGGGAUACGGCCCAGACUCCUACGGGAGGCAGCAGUGGGGAAUAUUGCACAAUGGGCGGAAGCCUGAUGCAGCAACGCCGCGUGCGGGAUGACGGCCUUCGGGUUGUAAACCGCUUUCGCCUGUGACGAAGCGUGAGUGACGGUAAUGGGUAAAGAAGCACCGGCUAACUACGUG
rnacentral:rRNA from 1 species